GGGGCAUGGAACAUGUGGAGAACAUCCUAACCGAAAACAAAGACGAGGGGAGCCAUGAGAGCCUCAGGCCGAUCGGCCUGGGUACCAUAGGCCGAUCAGCCUAGGGGUUUCCUCCCUCCUCUUGAGGUCCCCUUCGACGCCGGAGCUCUUGAUCAAAUCUAAAUCUUAUUCCUUCUCUUGUGGCGGCGGUGGAAUGUGAUGAAUGGCCU
rnacentral:lncRNA from 1 species